rnacentral:rRNA from 1 species
UACAGAGGGUGCGGGCGUUAAUCGGAAUUACUGGGCGUAAAGCGCGCGUAGGCGGCAUUGCAAGUCGGGUGUGAAAUCCCCAGGCUUAACCUGGGAACUGCAUUCGAGACUGCAUUGCUAGAGUAUGGGAGAGGGAAGUGGAAUUUCCGGUGUAGCGGUGAAAUGCGUAGAUAUCGGAAGGAACAUCAGUGGCGAAAGCGACUUCCUGGACCAAUACUGACGCUCAUGUGCGAAAGCGUGGGGAGCAAACAGG